GAUGAACGCUGGCGGCGUGCCUAAUACAUGCAAGUCGAGCGAACGGACGAGAAGCUUGCUUCUCUGAUGUUAGCGGCGGACGGGUGAGUAACACGUGGAUAACCUACCUAUAAGACUGGGAUAACUUCGGGAAACCGGAGCUAAUACCGGAUGAUAUUUUGAACCGCAUGGUUCAAAAGUGAAAGACGGUCUUGCUGUCACUUAUAGAUGGAUCCGCGCUGCAUUAGCUAGUUGGUAAGGUAACGGCUUACCAAGGCAACGAUGCAUAGCCGACCUGAGAGGGUGAUCGGCCACACGGGAACUGAGACACGGUCCAGACUCCGACGGGAGGCAGCAGUAGGGAAUCUUCCGCAAUGGGCGAAAGCCUGACGGAGCAACGCCGCGUGAGUGAUGAAGGUCUUCGGAUCGUAAAACUCUGUUAUUAGGGAAGAACAUAUGUGUAAGUAACUGUGCACAGCUUGACGGUACCUAAUCAGAAAGCCACGGCUAACUACGUG
rnacentral:rRNA from 1 species